GGUUCCUGUGUUGCCUUCCCGUCGAAUGGAAAAUCUCGUGAGAUAGCCCCGCCCCUUUCCCCCUUGUGGCUUUGCGGCCGCAAAGUGGACCUCGAAAGCAGUGCCUGUGUCCCGGGCGUAUCCUCUGACUGUUGUCGUGGCUGUCUCGGUCCACAGGACGACUGCUCGUGCUCUCGGAUGUGGAAAAUUAAGCGGACAUGGGGGGUCUCGGCCCCUGGUUGGUCCCAAUCAAGUCCCUCGAUAGGAAUGACUUUCGUGAUACCUCAUUGAUCGCAGGCCGUCUAGGCCUGUGGCAUCGAUGCGGGUCCGAAGUCGAGAAAGGAUGCUACCUGGUUGAUCCUGCCAGUAGUCAUAUGCUUGUCUCAAA
rnacentral:misc_RNA from 1 species